AGUGAACGCUGGCGGUAGGCCUAACACAUGCAAGUCGAACGGCAGCACAGGAGAGCUUGCUCUCUGGGUGGCGAGUGGCGGACGGGUGAGGAAUACAUCGGAAUCUACCUUUUCGUGGGGGAUAACGUAGGGAAACUUACGCUAAUACCGCAUACGACCUACGGGUGAAAGUGGGGGACCGCAAGGCCUCACGCGAUUAGAUGAGCCGAUGUCCGAUUAGCUAGUUGGCGGGGUAAUGGCCCACCAAGGCGACGAUCGGUAGCUGGUCUGAGAGGAUGAUCAGCCACACUGGAACUGAGACACGGUCCAGACUCCUACGGGAGGCAGCAGUGGGGAAUAUUGGACAAUGGGCGCAAGCCUGAUCCAGCCAUACCGCGUGGGUGAAGAAGGCCUUCGGGUUGUAAAGCCCUUUUGUUGGGAAAGAAAUCCAGCUGGCUAAUACCCGGUUGGGAUGACGGUACCCAAAGAAUAAGCACCGGCUAACUUCGUGCCAGCCGCCGCAGUAAGAC
rnacentral:rRNA from 1 species